rnacentral:rRNA from 1 species
UGAGGAAUAUUGGACAAUGGGCGCAAGCCUGAUCCAGCCAUGCCGCGUGCAGGAUGACGGUCCUAUGGAUUGUAAACUGCUUUUGUACAGGAAGAAACAGUUCUACGUGUAGAACCUUGACGGUACUGUAAGAAUAAGGAUCGGCUAACUCCGUGCCAGCAGCCGCGGUAAUACGGAGGAUCCAAGCGUUAUCCGGAAUCAUUGGGUUUAAAGGGUCCGUAGGCGGUUAGAUAAGUCAGUGGUGAAAGCCCAUCGCUCAACGGUGGAACGGCCAUUGAUACUGUCUGACUUGAAUUAUUAGGAAGUAACUAGAAUAUGUAGUGUAGCGGUGAAAUGCUUAGAGAUUACAUGGAAUACCAAUUGCGAAGGCAGGUUACUACUAAUGGAUUGACGCUGAUGGACGAAAGCGUGGGUAGCGAACAGGAUUAGAUACCCGUGUAGUCCCUGAGCGGGCUGGCAAGGCGCAU